ensembl:snoRNA D2023.18 ncRNA
UUCGUAUUCGCUUUACAAUGACACUUCAAUCGGCGAACUUUGACGAAACAACUGCUUUGCUAGAAUUGAUGGAAAAUUCACAAUGGAAAUGAAAUAACUUGAAAUGUACUGUUUGAUUUUGAUAUUUGCAAAGUACUGAUUCAAUUGCUUUCACUGAACUCUCCUUUCAUCAGGUUGAGGCGUUACAGGACGCUUCUUCUCCACCUUUCCACUCGCAGUAGUCAAGCCCAUAUAAUGUUAG